rnacentral:lncRNA from 1 species
CAGAGACCGACAAAGAAUACCAUGAAUUAGAUUUUGAGGUGAUUUUUGUCGUGAUUUUUUUCUCUGGAAACAGAUGAAUAUUUCAUGGAAAAAUAAGAACAAAACAGUCAAAAGUAAACACUAAAACGUACACUCUCAUACAGUUAGCACUAAAAACCUUGCAUUUCAUUUCACAACAAACACUCAUGCCUUAUAAAUAACACAUAUAAACUACUAUACACUCACAUAGCAGAAAAAGGAGACCCAAAUAGCAAGCACUAAAAAAUAAAUAUUUACAUGUUUACACCAAACAUUCUAACAACUAUACACUGACAAAAACAAAG